CUCUAAUAGUUAUUUCAUUAUUAGUAAAAUCUGCUCAAUGAUAUUAAAUAGCCGCAAUUUAUUGUGCUAAGGUAGCAUAAUCAUUCGUCUUUUAAUUAAAGACUAGAACGAAAGAUUUAACUUUCAAAUUUCUAUUAAAAUAAAUCAUCUUAAUUUAUCUUAAAUAAUAAAAAGAUAUUUAUACAUUAAAAAGACGAUAAGACCCUAUCAAACUAAACUUUAGUUUAACUGGGGAAGUUUAAAAAUUAAUACUUUAAUACAAUAAAAUAAUAAAAAGACCUAAAACAUUUAACUACAUGAUCAAGUUACUGUAGGGAUAACAGCAUAAUAAUAUUUCACAGAUCUUAUUUAAAAUAUUGAUUAUGACCUCGAUGUUGAAUAAUUAUCUAAUUCAUGCAAGAAUGAAUUAAGAAAGUCUGUUCGACUUUUAAUUAAUUACA
rnacentral:rRNA from 1 species